rnacentral:rRNA from 1 species
GACGGAGGGGGCUAGCGUUGUUCGGAUUUACUGGGCGUAAAGCGCACGUAGGCGGAUCGAUCAGUCAGGGGUGAAAUCCCAGAGCUCAACUCUGGAACUGCCUUUGAUACUGUCGAUCUGGAGUAUGGAAGAGGUGAGUGGAAUUCCGAGUGUAGAGGUGAAAUUCGUAGAUAUUCGGAGGAACACCAGUGGCGAAGGCGGCUCACUGGUCCAUUACUGACGCUGAGGUGCGAAAGCGUGGGGAGCAAACAGG